UGGGCAUAGCCCAGAAUCUGGCCAGGUUCCGGCGAACCGCCGCCACGCGGGCUACAGACUACCAGCGACAGUGCCGCUAUCCACGGUGGCCGAAAAAUAAAAAAAUACCCUUCGUGAUCCUUUUUUCACCCUCAACCCGGAUUUAAAACUGAAAGGCCCCAAAAAACCUUCCAAAAAUCGAAAAAAGAUAAGGGAACUCUUUGAUCUCGUCUUCUCCAAUCACCAAAAAGGUAAUAAAUUUAUUUUUGAAUAUAUAUAUGUGUAUAGGUAUGAUAUAUUCGAAAGAAAAAUGAAAAUAUACCUUUGUAAAGACAAUAAUUUCUUUGAUAUUUCUUUCUCUUUUUUGAUUAGAUUCUCUGUGUCUUUUUUUUGUAUUUGAUCUUCGUAAAAAAAAUUACAUUUUUCUUGAGGCUUUUAUAGCCUGAUUGACAACCAUUGUUCAUUACUGCUUAUUAUUCUUUUUUCUUUACAUGUUUCACUUUUCUACAGGAUUAGUUAGCAAGUGGAGAGCGGGGACAUGACAAUGGCGGUGGCAGUGGCAGUGGCAGGGGCUGACGUGGCAAGGUAGAGGUGGCUAGGAUUUCCUCUUUUGCUUAAAGUAGCUUAGUUUUUGGGCCAUUUGGGCCACUAGGGUUUCUUUGUUAUUUGGGUUUAGUUGGGCUUGAUUUUUGGGUUUUGAAUUUUGUAUAACUAGACUGUUAAUUAGUUGUUUAUUUGCCCCGGGCACAAUUUAGGUUUUACAAAUUGUUUUUGGCUACUUUCAAAGAGGUUUUU
rnacentral:lncRNA from 1 species